rnacentral:rRNA from 1 species
CGAACGGUCGCGUAACACGUAGGCAACCUUCCCAAAGACCGGGACAACAUCUCGAAAGGGGUGCUAAUACCGGAUGUGACCCGAGGGAGACAUCUCCUUCGGAUUAAAGCGCGCAAUCGGCUUUGGGAGGGGCCUGCGGCCUAUCAGCUAGUUGGUGUGGUAACGGCUCACCAAGGCGACGACGGGUAGCUGGUCUGAGAGGAUGGUCAGCCGGACUGGGACUGAGACACGGCCCAG